CCAGACUCCUACGGGAGGCAGCAGUAAGGAAUAUUGGUCAAUGGAGGGAACUCUGAACCAGCCAUGCCGCGUGCAGGAUGACUGCCCUAUGGGUUGUAAACUGCUUUUGUCAGGGAAUAAACCUUUCCACGUGUGGGAAGCUGAAUGUACCUGAAGAAUAAGGAUCGGCUAACUCCGUGCCAGCAGCCGCGGUAAUACGGAGGAUCCAAGCGUUAUCCGGAUUUAUUGGGUUUAAAGGGUGCGUAGGCGGUCCUAUAAGUCA
rnacentral:rRNA from 1 species